GCGGCCCGGCGGCCCGACCACGACCCCGCUUCCCACUCCCCGGACCGAGUUGCUUCUCCUCGGGCCUCUGGAGGCAAAAGGGAGUCACUGUCGCUUUGAUUGUUGGUCUCUCGGAUGGUGAGGGCUGGCGCCCUGCCCCGGGCGGUCUGCCCCGCUCCCCGCUGUCCCCAGGACCCAGCCCCUGACCCCUACCCCGAGGGCCGACAGCUUCCUACGGUCAUCGCCUCGGAGGAGGGACCCAGUGAAUUUUGGGGUCUCUUGCUAGAGCAGGGUUAAAAUACAGCCAUCCCCCGGGAUAAAUUCGUUCCUUCGGAGCUGUCAGGGGCCUGGCUUUGGGGCCAGGAACAGGGUUGGCAGACUUAGCACGCACACAAAAGAAUGCCAGGUAAACUCAAGUACAGUUUUGUCUGUGACUUUUCUCCCAAGCCAUCAGCUUUCUUAACAGAUUUUAAAAAGAAACAACCGAUCACUUAGAUCAUGGAAUUCAGCUAAAGCUGCUGCCCUUUAUGUCUGUGGAACCUUUCCUUUCAAGAAGCUUAAUGUUUUUAUAUUGUUGUUGUUCAGUUGAUGGAAACGGGACCCUGAGCAGAGCAUCCUCCAUGGAUUUGUCAAUGUGACACCCAAGUUCACUGAGGUGCUGGGAAUUGGUCCAAGAAAGAAAAACCAGGGCAGGCAUUCAGAG